rnacentral:snoRNA from 1 species
CUGCAGCCAGUUAAACCAACUGUCCUCCUUCCCUCUGGGCUUGAGUCCAGUGGAUUCACACAACAGCCUCCUAGAUAAUGCCUGCAGCCUGGUGCAAGUCUGGGUUCCCUCAGGGACUUGGAGGUGGCC